rnacentral:lncRNA from 1 species
UCUUGCUCUUCCUCUUCCUCCUGCUCUCUUCUCUACAGAGCCACCAUGUGAUCCUGGGAAGAGGACACCAGUGGAAGGCGUCCUGGAUAAGAUAAGUCUUAUAAAAUAUAUAGAUUUUUAAUAAUUAAGACUGAGCUAGCAUAUAAGAAAUCCUAGUCAAUUGGCCAGCAGCAUUGUAAACUAAUAUAAAACUCUGUGCGUCAUUCUGGUCUCCCAUGUGGCAGCAGGGCUCAGUCAGAUGGAGUAAAGACUUAUCAUUACAGAAUGGUACUAUAAGAAAUCCUAGUUGCUAGGCGUUGGUGGCACAUGCCUUUAAUCCCAGCACUCGGGAGGCAGAGGCAGGCGGAUUUCUGUGAGUUCGAGGCCAGCCUGGUCUCCAGAGUGAGUGCCAGGGUAGGCUCCAAAGCUACACAGAGAAACCCUGUCUCAAAAACAAAAAACAGAAAACAAAAAAUAAACAACAACAACAAAGAAAUAGUAGUCAAUUGGCCAGCAGCAUUGAAAAUAAUAUAAGACUCUGUGUGUUACUUUUGGGCGGCCACAUGGCAGCGGGGCUCGGGCGGCUGGCAGAAAGGUUUAUCGUUCCUUUCCCCUCCCUCAUGGCCUCCCUCCCUUCAUUCCCCACUUCCCCACGUUCCCCUUGUCUCUGUCGUCUUGGGGUCUUUGUUCCUCCUGCCGUCCUCUCUGGCACACUCUUGCCAUAGUUGCUCAUCUUUGAGGUAUCGAUUUAGUUACCUCUUUCUCUAGGUUGAGGAAGUGGUCCCCUGUUGGCUUCUUCUGGUGCCCAAUACGAUGAUUGAUUGUCUUCUCUGGGGGUAGAGACCUUUACUUAAUACCUAUCAUACCUUGGAGUAGAAUACUCAAAAAUAAUCAUGGAUUGAAUGAAUAAGUAUCAAUUUCCCAGGGAUACGGAGCUAAAGGAUGAGGCCUCAGGUCUUUGUGGCAUGCGGCUGAUAAGUAGCAUUGCAGGAAAGUGACAGCUGGUGUCAAAGUCAUUAAAAGGUGAGAUUAGCACAGGAAAAAGACGUAUGCUGCAUGUUUCAGACAAGACAGAAAGACAGGGUCCAGCUUCUGUAAUAGAGGGGUCUGCUGUGAGCUACCUCAUCACACGGUGUAAAGCUGUGUCACUGUGAUUGGUUUAAUAAAAAGCUAAAUGACCAACAGCUAGGCAGGAGGUAUAGGCAGGACUUCUGGACAGAGAGAGCUCUAGGAAGAAGAAAGGGGAAGUUGCCAGCCAGAUGCAGAGGAAACAGGACACGCAGGAGGGAAGGUAAAAGCAGUGAGUCACGAUAGCAGCAUGUAGAUUAGUAGAAAUGGGUUAAUUUAAGCUAUAAGAGUUAGUUAGAAACAAGCCUACGCUAAAAUUUAGCUUUCAUAAUUAAGAAGUCUCCCCGUCCUUGUUUGGGAUCUGGCUGACAGGACAGAGAAAGACUUGAUGCAUAUGGCAUCCAAUGUGGAGGCUCAAUACCUAAAUAUAUGCCUGAGAAAGCUAAGAAAAGUUCUGGACAAGGAGCCGGAUGUGGAUUCCCAGUCCUGCAGUCUCUCGGUCAGGCUACUCAGCAGCAUACAGAGAUGUGGCUCCGGGCCGCUGCCUGUGGGCGAAGCCAGCCCCCGGCACCACGCAUGAGCUUCAUCAGCUAAGCUGAGCCACACAGAGGCUGACAUCUAAGAUUUGUCUCACACAGCCAGAAAGCACUACCGGUACUUAGUAAAGUCAUGUCCAGACAUAAAAAAACCUCUAAAAAGGUGCAAUGUGUUUUGUUUUUUUCAAAAAUGUGCUUAGAUGUUAAAGAAAUAAAAAAGAAAAUGAGUAUAUAUAGUCAUAAAAAUUAAAUAGUUUGAAAAUAAUAAGGUCUUGAAAGAGAGAACGUGUGUGUGUGUGUGUGUGUGUGUGUGUGUGUGUGUGACAUAAAGAUGGGAAAUACAGUGUCUAGAUGGUAUAUGGUGCUUUCGUGACUUUGAAGUUUUGAAUGCUAAUGAACAGAGAAUGGCAACUAUUGAGAGACACUGGCUUGUGGAAGGGACUGCUGAGUUAAACCAGCCUAUACAUUUUAGGGAUGUCUUGGCUUCAGAAUGGAAGUCAGGAAAUGCAUUGCAUUAGGGGAGAGGUUGUGCUUUUGUUUCCACAGGAAAUGGAAAGCUAUGGGUUCCUUCAAAGUUAAUCAGAAUUAGAUUAGCCUGAGAGAUUGCAUUAGAAAAUCUUGGCCACAAACAUGAAAAAGGAAGAAAAGAAAAGCUACAAGACAGGUGAUGUAUAAGCUGAUCCUUUGACAUGGGAACAUCUCUGAGACGGGAUGAGACAAAAUAAAUCUUGUUGGCUGCAGAGUCCUCUUGACUUAUUAUUACAAGGCAUCCUUUCAUUGGCAUGGGUAGAGAUUUAUAUUAUAGUCCAAACAAUUUACAAAGUUAAUAAAUGCCUUUUACCUGUGCUCAAACAUCUAACAAAAUAUAAUGUUUAACUGACUGUUGCACACUGCACAUUCACGCUGUGUUAUAUAUAUAUAUGUUAUAUAUAUAUAACAUAUAUAUAUAUAUAUGUUAUCUUUAAAAGUUUGGGUAUUUCCAGGGGUAAAAAAGGAUCAUGUACCAAUAAAGACAAGUAGCCCAGGUGAUCUAGCCUCUCAGAAUGCCUCUAUUGAAGUUUCCUCAGAAUUCUGUAUCCAGAACAAUCUCAAAGCUGCUAGCUGAGACAGUCCAUCCUCACGCACUACUCCAGCCAGAACUUUGGAUAUGCCCUGCACUUUCCUAUUGACAGAGACUGGAUAUAAAGGCUACUGCUAGCUUUCCUAGGACUUGGCCAUUAUCCUAGUUUCUCAGGGUCCCCUAGAGAUGCCAUCACCCCCAGACAAGAGAAAGCAGUCUAGAGAACAUGACAUCCACAGACCCAAGAGCUGGGGUGGGUGGUUUUGGUCAUUCAAUGGGUUAUAGAUGUUUGCAAGUAUUUAGGGGGGUUGGUUACAGUUGUUACUGGUCAUGGCCAGGAAAAAGCUGAACAAAGGAGAUUAGAUUUAGGGAUCUCUCUCUGAAGGGAAAGGCGGGAUAUAGUAUAGAAAUGAGGGGAUAAAGGGUGGUUUGCUGAGUCUACUUUCAAACAACCACUAGUCUCAAAUAUUUUACAUUGUUAUGGAUUUUUGUAAAUUGAUACAAAUUUAAGGUUAUUUUGCUACACUGUCUAUAUGUUUCUAAUAUUGUUUAAGGUAUUGUGUCUAUGCAGGUCAUUAAAAAGAUAAUGUAAAGUUUUAGUUCUUAAAAGCUAUUUAAGAUAAUAAAGAAAGACGGGUUAGUAGUUAGUCAUCUAUAACAAUCAAACUUAUCGUCAUGUUAGGUAUGCUUUAAACAUCAUACAGAAAUAUGUUUUAUAUAGAUAGGUGACUUUCAAACAUUUCAAAGACCUGGCAUUUAAAAUGUUUAAUAACAUAAGGCUUUUCAUGACAGUGAGACAUGCUGCAUCUGGCAGUACCAAUUUACUUCAAAAGAGGGUGAUGGGCAUUGAAGAACAUCCUUAUGGAGUUUUCUUUCUUUGUGGCAAAAGUUAGUCAUGUGAUCAAGAAAUUGCUUUUCCUCGACUGCUGGCAGUAUGUUAUCCAAACUGGACAAGCAAGACACAAAAGAAAGUGACUGCUGAACUUUGCCAAGACAAGGCAGGACAGUCCUUCAAAAAUUCCUGCUUCACAGAAAAUUCUGUCAGAUACUCUAGGCCUGUAGGCUGAAGAUGGGUGCCCAAUGUUACAGAGGAACCUUUGGUGAAUGUGCACAUAGCCAGAUGUCCCUGCUGUUUCCCACAGUUUCGGAAGUUGCUUGCUCUGCAUUUUCUGUUUACUCAGGGCUGGAUUUGGCACUGAACAACCAAUUGGUGUGCUCUUCCCUGGAGACCAGCUCCCCACUCCCAGCUUUACCCAGGUUUGAUGGAUGCAAAUGGAAAGAAUAAAUAAGGUGGAUGGCAUCACAAGAAUAGAGUGACCAGGGGAUGCAGCUCGGUGGCAGGGCAUUUGCUUGGAAUAUGCAACCUCCCUACCUCCCAGUUCAAUCCCUGCGGAAAAACCAAGGGGCCGAAGAAAGACAAACGCCAGUGUGUGUAAGAAAACCUACCGCUGCCUCUCUUGGUUGUUUUGGAAUCCCUGGAGCCUCACAGUUCACAGAGUGUCUGCCCCCUUCAAGGUUCUCAAAUUGUCUCAGACCCCCGAUGAAGUUCCUGCUUUCCAUGGUUUUGUAUUGUAAGAGAAAAACAUCUGUCUUCUGAGCUUCUAAUGCAAGGGGCACUAACUUUUGUUUUUAUUUAUGUUUGUUCUGAGACAGGGUCUUAAUAUAUAGCCUAAGCUGGUCUUAGGUGUUGGAUCCCUCUACUUUAGCCUCCAUAGUUCGGGGAUUACAGGUGUGUGUCACCGUGUCCCCCACACAGCAGGCACUGAGGUGCCAAGGACUCUGGGAUUACAGGCGUGUGUCACCGCGUCCAGCACACAGCAGGCACUGGGGUGCCAAGGACUCUGGGAUUACAGGAGUGUGUCUCCAUGACCAGCACACAGCAGGCACUGGGGUGCCAAGGACUCUGGGAUUACAGGCGUGUGUCACCGCGCCCAGCACACAGCAGGCACUGGGAGGUGUCACUGGGAAAGUACCAUACAGCAAAGCAUAACAGCAUCAUUUCUUUCUUAAGCACAGGCCUCCCCUCUACAAAGUCAGUCAAGCCCACUUCCCCUUCCCCUUUGAUUGUGUUGACUUCACAACACAGGGAGGAUUAACCCAAGACACGGCUGGGAUGAAGGCCGCUUACUCAGCACAGCUCCCUUCCAUGCCUGGGCCCAGGCCUCUCCUGCCAGUGCUCUUUUUACUUCAGCAUUCAACACAACACCACACUUUGUGAGGGGCCACAGCACUAGUAGCAGAUGAAAUCAAUUGAACCCUGGAAAGGUGUCAACUGCUGAGACCAGCAGACAAGUGCCAAGGGAAAGGAAUACUUGAGAUUCCUAUGAAGGAACAAUGUUGGGUUUGACGUGAAUAACAGUAGAGAAACAAAGAGUACUAGACAUUACAUAAUCCAUGGAGACAGGCAGAAGAGGGGCUGGAACCCAGUAAAGCAAAUUCCAAAGGAGGCAGUUACCGUGGAAGUGGCAGAGGGGAGAGAGAGCCAUGGAUGUAUAUUGAGUUAGCACGCAAGGCAUAUGGAAUUGCAGAUAACCUAACCGCCACAGCAGCAGUGCAACACAAGGGAUAUGGCUUGUGAUCUGAAGAAGUGGAAACUGAGGCACCGAUGUUGAGUCCUUUGUCUAGAAGCAGAGCUCAGAUAUCUAUGGGGUUCUUUCUCAAGAGGGGAAUGGGCUGUGUCAUAGCUCAGCCAGAUGUUUAAGGGAACGGGGACAAAACUCAGCAAGUAAAGAGCUCACCUUGCAAAUAAGAGGACUUGAGUUGAUCCACAAAACACAUAUUUAAAAAAGAUAAAAAGCCAGCCAUGAUGGUGAGUGCUUGUAAUCCCAGCCUUGGGCAAGCAGAGACCAAUUGGAUCCCUCUGGCUUGGCAGACAGUCAGCCUAGCCAAUCAGUGACUUCCAGGCAAUGAGAGAUUUUUUUUUUCCUUUUUCAAAAAGAGGGUGAAUUCUAAGGAAUGCUAUCUGAGGUUGUCCUCUAGCCUAGACUCACAGACACAUACAGACACACAGAUGCACACUUGUACAUGCAUAUACAUAGUCACAUACACACAGAGACAGGAAGAGAGAGAACGGAGGAGAAACUAAAGAUGUGCCCAAAGGGACUGUGUUCAACACUGUGCAAAGCUGUGACGCCGCUCAACAUGGGCACAUCUCAAAAACAUCCUCAACUACCAUAAUCUAAGCCCUGGGGAUAGAGAGAUUCUGUCCCGAGACACCCCUACACACACACACACACACACACACACACACACACACACACACACUCACACGCGCACACACACACACACACACACACACACACACACACACACACACACACACACACACACGGACCCUCCAAAGCUCAAGCCUGCUCAACAAAGAAGCUGUGGCCACUUCCUUUAACGGAUAUGUUUAAGGAGAAGUUAUCUUACAAGUUUCUCCUCAGGAGAGGUGUGGAUGAGGAAAGAAGCCAGGCCAGAGACCACACAUAUAUGAAGAGGUCUAAGGAGUCAGAUGGACAGAGAAAGAAAGUAGAGGAGGGCCUGGUGUGGGAAACAGGGAGGGACCACCAGGGUGAUGGGGAUAGUCUCAACUCAAAUUUGCGGUGACAGUUGUGCAAUUUUGACAUUUUCCUAAAACUCACUAAGUCUGCACUUAAAAUAGGGAAACAAUGAAAACGUUGCAUGGAAAGAAGAGUGUUGUUUAAUGACGAAGGCGACUGGAAAGUCUGAACAGUAGAUCAUGGGGUCUGGCGAGGGAAUCCUGACUGCAUUACAUGACGGAAAGGUGAUUCUGAAAAGGAGAAGUUCCCAGCACAUGAGACAGCCUGGCUGCAUAACAACACACUUCUGAGAGAAUUGAUCCAGCACCGAAAAACCUGAUAGACCAGUAAAGUGAGCAUUAAUCUCUGUCGGGGCCGUGCCCUAACGAUCUGAUGAUCUUCUGUGCAGCACCUCUUAAAAGUCUACUUGUUUCCAUCCCGUGUGGGGGCAGACUCACAGCACAUGGACCUUUGGGGGCACGUCAUACCUUAACUUUUAGAGCUGUGUUUAAAGCCCUUAGCCCUGGAAUGUGAGGGUCUGCAGGUAAUGGCCUCAGGGCCCUGAAUCUGAGCAGAUAUGGAUCACCUUUCAUCUUCAGCCCUGAAGUAAGUUACCAUCUCCUUGAGGGGCUGUCUUUAGCCCAUGGUAGUUGUUACCCCCGCAUGUGUGUGCUCUGUGGGCUUGCUAAAAUUCCAAGUGGUCCUUGAACUGGCUUGCCAUUUGUCUGUCUCUCCAGUCAGGAGGUAACCUCACCUCCUGUGCUCAUUUUUGUUAUAAGGGUACUCCCUACUGGCACAAAAGAGGGACAGGCAAGUAGUAGUUACUAAUGCUAUUGUUCAAAUAACAAAUGAAUUCAGGAUUAUGAGCUGUUUGCUUAUUAUAAAUUCCUGGGGCUUCUUUACCUCAGAAAGGCUUCUCUAUCAGGUGUGCAGAAGAAGCCCCAGAUGCUGGUCCUGGCUGUGGAAGAAGAAGAGAGACUGAGAGAAAAUCAAGAUUAACAGGCAAGAGUAGCUAGCUUUCAAAAAAAAAGAAAAAAAGAGAGAACAGACUCAAAGCCCUUCCCCACCUGGGCUUCACAAAAUAAACUGAGCAUGCUCAAAAAGAGUUCCCAGUGUGCAAAUGUGAGACAGACAGGUUCUACGUGAACCCCCUUUUUAUUUCAGCUUUCCCUCUGCUCACUUGCACAUUCUCAGAAGUGUUUUCUCUCUCUAAAUAAACUGUCUCUAUUCCCAAUUCUAACCAGGUGUCCCUCAUCCUGUGCUUGGCCUUCAGAUACAAGGCCCUGAGAACUUGAUGACCCUGGUCUCAGAGCCACACCCCUAAUACUAACCACCCACCCUCCACCUGGCAUCCAGGCCUGGCUCUGCAACCUGACUUGGCCUGGGAGGUGGUGUUAACCCAUAGGCUACCUCAGGUGGGCUGCUGGUUAAGGCUGGGGCUCCUGGAACCAAAGAUAGAGGUAGAAGCUGCUGGAGUACAGAGACAGAGACACUAGUCCCUGUGAGCAAAGGAAGCUUCGGAGAGACCAAGAGAGGCAAAUCUGCCUGCCCCGUUGGCUGUCUACCUAGAGCAGGCAGAAGGAAGGAAACACAGCACCUGGAGCUAGCCAAGCAAGAGCAGGGCAUUCUGGGUAGAAUGCUGAGACUGAGUUACCAGGGUGGGUGUGUGCAUGCGUGUGCAUGGGUGUAUUCUUGGGAGACAAAGUGGGAUUGGAGAGGGUUUGGUCAUCCGCAGCCCUCCGCUCUACCAGCUAAAUUAUGGAAGGGAGUCCUAUCCCCUCUUAACACAAGGUGCUGGCCAGCCUAGGGCCCAGAAAAGCAGUUCCGAUUCUCUGAACACAGUGGCCCUUAAACAGUAAAAUCAAGAAGGGGAGAGGCCAGGGAAUGGGCUAAUUACACCUACCAAGCGACAAAUCACUCGGAAAACAUAAAUACGUUUUCAAGGACACUCGUCCACUAACGAUGCUAAAGUGUUUUUCUUUCAAACCCCAGCAAGAAAAUCCAAGGGAUGAAACAAACUUCGCUUAUUUUAGUUUCUACUCAAUUACCUGUUAAUGGAAAAAACCUGGCACCAGCCAUAAUGAGGCCAGCAUGAUCUCACUGGCACGGGGGCCGGGCCUGUCAGGGAGGGUUGCAACAAGCCCAGCCUUUAUCAGCCUCUCUAUAACCCUUUUCAAGCUGCUGUCACAGAGCCCACCCGGAGCAGGAGGGAAAGAAGGAACUUGGAGCCUGCUCCAGGCCUCCAAGGCCCUCUGGGAAAAGGAAAAUUGUUGUUGGCAAGUCAGCCUGGCUCCAGAAAUUGAUCCAGUGCCCCCCACUUGUCCAUGCAGCAGCAGACAGGGCUAAGAAUUUUGUUAUAAUUAAAUAACAGGGUGCUGAUUGGUUGCUGGAGGUGGUCUAGAAACUGGUGUUUAAAGAGAGAGAACAAGGGUUACUAUUCAUAGGAAAAUCCCAGCGUCUUAAAAAUCCAUCUGUUUCAUUCCCAAAUUUAGGCCAAAAAUAUGCUCACUUGCUGUCUUUAAAAAUACCACCUGCUUGGCGAUGUUGUAUAAUGUGCCGUUAUGUAAAGGGGGGAGACGUAGGCUGGACAAGAGGGUGGCUGGGCAAGGUCCCCUCCCUCAGAAAACAGACACAGCCUUGCCCAGGCCCAGCUCACCAAAGACGGAGCCCUAGCAACAGAGAGUCUUGCCAGUACCACCCGGGUGAAUGGCAGCCGUUAGCCUCCAGAUGCCUGGGUCUGGGUUAGCCUACAGAGGCCCACCUUGCCCUCCCUGUCCUUACCCCGCCUCCACUCACAGAUACCAGCUAUGGCAAUCUGAGUGUAGGUGAGGAAGCAGGCAGUGUUUAGGUUGUUUCAUUACUUAAGGAGUAGCCAAUGCUACCAUCGAACCCUGAGGAAUUCACCUGAUAGUUCCAUUCCUAGGGGAAGGGCCAUAGUCUAGGAGAAGAGUUUGUCAUGACUCAGCCCUGGCAGCCCUCCUCUCAGACCUCACUCUGCAGACCACACGGCAAACAUAUCCUGGCAUUCUCUGGCUCUCUAGAGCACACGGAAACCUGGGUCAUUCUUCUCACUCAUCAAAACCGCCAUGAGCUUUUUAGUGGGAUAGAGCAUGGGUGAUCCAAGAGAAAGUCUCUUCUUUGGGCACUGCAUGAAAACUCCCUGUCAGUUUCAUGUUAACUGUAAUUUCCUUAUCUACACUUUGGUGGAUGGACAGUGACUGGUAUCGGUUAAGGGCCAUUCACAAAUGAAGCUACCAUGGUCAUGUAUUAAUGUGAACCAUAUGCCACUUGCAUUGUCUUUCUUUGUGAACUAUUGAGUCUCAAUUUUGAGGGUUUGCUUUUGAGUUUAGUUCUGUAUUUAAAUCCUCUGUGGCGUUUCUCUAAAUAACUUUGUGAUAAAUGCCUUUAGCAACUUGAUAACACGUAUCUACAAAAACAUACAGCUGCCACCAUGGUGUGGUGAAAUAGGGGUUGUGGUUCUGUGAGUUUGGAAGAAAAAUAACAAGCCUGUUAUUCAAUGCUGUGUUGGAGAGGUACUUGCUAGAACAGAACUUAAAUCCAAACCUCAGUUUAAGUAUAAAACAGGGACAGUAAUUACAGCUACCUCAAGGAACUGUCAGAAGGCUUGACUAAGGUGUGAAACGU